GACGAACGCUGGCGGCGUGCUUAACACAUGCAAGUCGAACGGAAAGGCCCUGCUUUUGUGGGGUGCUCGAGUGGCGAACGGGUGAGUAACAAGUGAGUAACCUGCCCUUGACUUUGGGAUAACUUCAGGAAACUGGGGCUAAUACCGGAUAGGAGCUCCUGCUGCAUGGUGGGGGUUGGAAAGUUUCGGCGGGUGGGGAUGGACUCGCGGCUUAUCAGCUUGUUGGUGGGGGAGUGGCUUACCAAGGCUUUGACGGGUAGCCGGCCUGGGAGGGUGACCGGCGACAAUGCGACUGAGGGAGGGCCCAGUGGGCUACGGGGGGCAGCAGUGGGGAAUAUUGUGCAGUGAUGCGAAGCGUAUUGCGGCGACGCUCCGUGUGGAAAGACGGCCCUGCGGUUAUAAACCGCGUACGGUUGUGACGUAGCCUGAGUGACGUUAAUGGGUGAAGAAGCACCGGCUAACUCCGUG
rnacentral:rRNA from 1 species